rnacentral:rRNA from 1 species
CAAAUGUUCCCGACAAAGACGCCGGGGCCAGAUGGGUUUCCAGCACAUUUUUUUCAGAAAUAUUGGCAUUUAUGCGGUGAAGAGGUGACCAAGAUUGUUAUUCGGAUUUUGAAGGGGGAAGACUCCCUUGAGGAGAUCAACAGGACGUUCAUUGUUAUUAUCCCUAAGGUAAAUAACCCAACUUUUUUGUCUCAGUUCCGACCCAUUAGCUUGUGCAAUGUGAUGUUCAAGAUCGCAUCAAAAGUGCUAGCUAACAGACUGAAGCAGAUUCUCCCUAAGAUCAUUUCCGAAGAGCAGUCGGCCUUUGUGCCAGGUAGACUCAUUACUGAUAAUGUCAUAACGGCGUAUGGGUGCUUGCAUUACAUGAAAAAUAAUAGAAGUAAGAAGAAUUCCCAUUGUGCUGUAAAGUUGGAUAUGCAGAAAGCCUAUGACCAUCUAGAAUGGAACUAUCUCGAAGCAAUCAUGAAGAAGUUGGGAAUUAGUAACCAGUUUGUAGAUGCAGUUAUGAGGGGAGUAAAAUCAGUUUCUUACUCGGUCCUCUUCAAUGGAGGUCCAACAAGGGAAUUUUUGCCAUCCAGAGGGAUUCGA